CUUUUUCAUUUUUGGGUUGUUCACAUGUUUUUUUCACCAUUUGAUCAUGAUAUGUUGAUCCUAGGGCUCUGUUUUCUCCUUAAACAAUGACACACUUUUGAACCUUAAUGACAGAUCCUUGGGCCUGAUAGUGGUUGGCAGCCCAUCCCAUUAACUGAAGUUAUAACUUCUGCAGCUGUAAAAAGAGCAUACAGGAAAGCCACUCUUUGCGUACACCCUGACAAAUUACAGCAGCGUGGUGCAACUAUUCAGCAAAAGUAUAUAUGUGAGAAGGUUUUUGAUCUUCUAAAGGUCUGUCACUUGUUUUCUCUGUAACUGGAAUUAUUCAUUUUGCUUUUCAAUGAACUGAGGCAAUUUUAGGUUGCAUAUAGUACAGGAAUGAGCUUGAUGAUAAUUUACUUUCUAGUAUCAGCAAAUUAAAUGAUUAGAAUAUCAAUGUAAGAUCACUUCCAAAUUGUUAAAGUAGUCAAGCAAUUCUGAUAACUUUUAAUUGCUUUAGAUUGGUUACUUCUGUAGUAUAUUUGACUGUCUGUUUUAUAUAACUUCAAGCAUUCGUCAAUCGUCCACCUUUUCCCUUUUAGUGAAGUGUGACAAGGUACAAUGUGUGAAAAAAAGUGUGAGGAGAAAUAAUUGUAAAAUUGUUUUUAAAAACAGAAUUAGCUCAUUUUGGCAGUAGAGUUGAAAAAAUAGAAUUUAAUUGUGUGUGCAUUUAAUGUAGAUAUUUACUGCAUGUAUAUGUUCUGUUACGGAGAAAUGUUCUACUAAGCAACUGUGACAUUGCACAUAAUAAUUGGUGGAUCAUUUAAUUCCUGUAACCUAUCAUAAACUUAUUUACCAAUUAAUUGACGUGUCAUGUCCCUAAGCAUUAGCAUAAGCUUAAGAAUGGUGCUUAGUGCAUCAUUUCUCUACAGUUACAUUUGUCAAAAGGCACAGGACCUGGUUAGGUCAGUUUUGUAAAGAUCCUACACUUUAGUUUUUAUUUGUAAUUUGUAAUGUGCACAGGUGAAAUGAAUUUUGACAAUCCACAUUCAUGGAUCUUAUGAUGCUUUAUCAUAUUCAAUCUCACGAUUUAGCUGUGGAGAUUGACUUUUCGAUUAAAAUCUGUUAUGUGACGUUCCAUAACUUGUUGAUUUCGAACUGGCAUUUCUUUCCUUGCAUGUUAAAUGACGAUGCCUUGUUAAUGUGUAUGUUAGAGGCCACACUUAACCUACUCUACGUUCCUAUCAAAUGUUAGUAUCUUCAAUUGUUUGGAAAUAAAAAAAACUACUAUUGUUCUACGUAAAAGAUGUGAUAAACUAUCUUUCUAUGCUUAUCAUGCGGCUUGAUACUACGAGCAUUUGUAUAUUAAGUCAUUGGAAUGUUUCUGUGUCUUCAGGAAGCAUGGAACAAGUUCAAUUCAGAAGAGCGGUAGCUUGAGGCUUUUUUCUGCUUGAUGAAGGUUUGCCCUGUAAAUUUUAGUUUCAGCAAGCAAGCAAAUAUUCUUCAUAUAGUUCUGAUUAUUUUUUUAAUGGUUUGCAAGUAAGCUUAAAAGUUGUAGGAACAUAAAAAAAAAUAGAGAUGCUCUAUGAAAUCCAUGUGUGCAGUGCUUUGGAAUCGGGAUUAGACUCAAUUUUAGGCGUUCAUCGGCAAGUGUUAAUCUGAAUUAUUAUUAUUUUCCCUUCUACGAAACAAUUGAAGUUCCGAUAAUAAAAAGUAAGUUUUAUUUAUUUAUUUA
rnacentral:lncRNA from 1 species